GCGUCAGUAGUGUAACGGAAACAGCAUGCAUUCGCGGGAAGAGUGAGGUGUGGGUUCUAGUCCCGCCUGAGGCG